rnacentral:rRNA from 1 species
ACUCAAAUGAAUAGACGGGGACCCGCACAAGCGGUGGAUGAUGUGGAUUAAUUCGAUGCAACGCGAAAAACCUUACCUACCCUUGACAUGGUUCGAAUCUUUCAGAGAUGAGAGAGUGCUCGCAAGAGAACGGAUACACAGGUGCUGCAUGGCUGUCGUCAGCUCGUGUCGUGAGAUGUUGGGUUAAGUCCCGCAACGAGCGCAACCCUUGUCAUUAAUUGCCAUCAUUCAGUUGGGCACUUUAAUGAGACUGCCGGUGACAAACCGGAGGAAGGUGGGGAUGACGUCAAGUCCUCAUGGCCCUUAUGGGUAGGGCUUCACACGUCAUACAAUGGUGCAUACAGAGGGUUGCCAAGCCGCGAGGUGGAGCUAAUCUCAGAAAGUGCAUCGUAGUCCGGAUUGGAGUCUGCAACUCGACUCCAUGAAGUUGGAAUCGCUAGUAAUCGCGGAUCAGCAUGUCGCGGUGAAUACGUUCCCGGGUCUUGUACACACCGCCCGU